rfam:Otolemur garnettii contig043344, whole genome shotgun sequence.
CUUUCUCCCAGCUUUCUCAGAGAAUGACUGUUCAGGUGGGUGAGACUACAGUAAAAAUUUCUUUCAAAAACAAAUUUCUUGCACCCGCUCUGCUGCAGUUGCUACUGCGCUUUAUUGCAAGGUUACGG